CCUACGGGCGGCAGCAGUGAGGAAUAUUUGUCAAUGGACGAGAGUCUGAACCAGCCAAGUAGCGUGAAGGAUGACUGCCCUAUGGGUUGUAAACUUCUUUUAUAUGGGAAUAAAAUGUUCCACGUGUGGGAUUUUGUAUGUACCAUAUGAAUAAGGAUCGGCUAACUCCGUGCCAGCAGCCGUGGUAAUACGGAGGAUCCGAGCGUUAUCCGGAUUUAUUGGGUGUAAGGGGAGCGUAGGUGGAUUGUUAAGUCAGUUGUGAAAGUUGGCGGCUCAACCGUAAAAUUGCAGUUGAAACUGGCAGUCUUGAGUACAGUAGAGGUGGGCGGAAUUCGUGGUGUAGCAGUGAAAUGCUUAGAUGUCACGAAGAACUCCGAUUGCGAAGGCAGUUCACUGGACUGCAACUGACACUGAGGCUCGAAGGUGUGGGUAUCAAACGGGAUUAGAUACCCCUGUAGUC
rnacentral:rRNA from 1 species